AUGCAAUAUAAAUAUUUACUAGAACCACUCAGCCCUCUCAUUGCCCCACCACCACCACCACCAUCGCCACCUCCCUUGCGUCCCUCCGCAUUUCCCCUCCCUCGCUCCCUCCCUCCCUCCAUCCAUCCAUCACCGGCUGCCUCCCUGCAUCCCUCCCUCGCCGUCCUGCCUUUUUUUCCCUCCCUCCUGCCUCCUAUCGCCUCUUUCUGCUUCUCCAAGCAAAACGGAGGCGCCACACCAGCGUUUGUGGAUCCACAUUAUCUCUCUCUUGCAAAAACACAAACAAAUACACAUAUAGUUUGUGUACAGAUGCAGAGAAGCGCAAGGAUGGAAUUGCCUUCAGUAUGGUGGACUCCAUGACAAGAUUCCUCCUUAAAUUCUAUUUGGUUUCUUCAAAUACUAUUUAAAAAUGGACAUUUCUUACUUUCAUGAUGGUAAAGACAUUUUACAGACCUCUUCAGAGGUUUGAAAUGGAUCAAACCCACUCGGUCAGGCUCUUCCUAUAACAAUUGAUUAUCAAUCUGUCCAAUUAGGAAACCCAAACUAUUGUGAAUCCAUGGGUCAGCUGCUUUGAUGUAAAAAAUAAAGAAAAUGGACUCUUACUUACACAGUGCUUUUCUACUCAAUUUAAGCUUUUAAAGUGCUAUCUUACUACAAGGCUCAUUCACUCCUUAACAAAAACAUGUUUUUUUCUGUGCCUAAGCACUUUUAAACCUUACACUAACACACUCACACUAUAAUAGAUUCAUUAGAGUUCAGUAUCUUGUUCAAGGAUAAAACAACACGAAGGCUGAAGGAGCCAGGGAUCAAACUACCACCUGAGCCACAAAAACAGAAUAUCUUUUGUCGGUCAUCUAGCAGUUGCGUGUCUACAUACAUGCAAAUUUGUCAGUACAAGAACAGGAAACAUACCAAUAGUGAUUAUCUUAAGAGAUAAAGAAAACUCAAGAGCUAUUGUUCACCAGGCAUGGUUAACCGUUUCUGCUGGUGGCUGAUGUACUUCCUCCCCCGACUGACGUGACAAGGUCAUUUGUAAUUAUGAUGGAAGUGACAAAGAUGGCAGUAAUAGUACCAGCUUACUUAUUUUCUUGUCCCUCUUCCUCCUCCCUCAGAUGAGGCCCCUUGUCAAAUACUGUGGGGCACAAGCAUGCAGACAGAAAUGCUCACGUGCACACAUCAGACACAACCCAGUAAACCAGUUCUUACUUGUUGUCCCACAUUAUAUGUAUUGUGUUUUUCUGUUUCUGUCCAUGUCUACUGUUUAUCAAUUUAAAAACAUUGGAUAGAACCUGUGGUGAAGGAAGUAUUUGGGUCCUUAAAAGAGAUGGGCAGGAACGCAUUACAAGUAACGCGUUACUGUAAUCCGAUUACUUUUUUCAAGUAACGAGUAAUGUAAGGGACUACUAUUGCAAAAAAGGUAAUUAGAUUACUGUUACUUUCCCGUAAGCACGCCAUGUUACUGCGUUACUAAAACCGUGAUUUUUUUGCGAGAGUGUCUCAUGACAAUGACGUAAGCGAGUGCGACGUUCGUGGCAACAGCUGUGUGCAGAUCAACAAAGGAUAGUAUAUCGAGUGUGGCAGAGAGUAUGAGCGUGCAGCUUUUAAAGCGUGGAAGUACUGACCUUAAUUUGAGGUUUGAUUCCGUAAGAAGUGACAAAAACAUUAGCGUCCGCUGUUCACUGCGUGGGAAGAAAACUUCUUUUUACAGCGAAAAAACCCUUAACUUCCAAGCAAGCACCGAAGAUGCUACCACGGAAUGGGAAAUUCACAGACAAACUCACGGAUUCUUCCACUGACCGCUGUGGCACACCUGCACCAGGGCAAACAUCCGCCUGUUAUACAGGUGAAAAUAAAGCAACAGGACCGCUGAGUCUUUGAUUUUAUUUAUUUUCUGCUGUGUUUCACUUGCAUUUAUUUGAAAGAGUGAGUGUAAGCACAAAAAAAUAUUUUAUUUUAUGUGCUGGAAUGUGCAGAAAAUAGGUUUAAAUGUUAAACAAAUUUCUUCCAGUCAGAGAAUGUUGCAUAUAAUUUAAUUUUUGCUUGAUGCAUAAAGUUAAAAGAUUAAAACUAAUAAAACAAGUUUUAAAAAGAGACGUUUCCAUUUGAUUACAUUUUGUAUGAUGAAUUAUGCAGAAAAAGUAGAAUUGGGCUGAAAGAUCUAUCGCUUUAUCACCUAUUCAAGUUGUAAAUCGUGUUUUUAAAAAGUAACUAAGUAACUAAGUAAUUAAUUACUUUUGAAAAUAAGUAAUCAGUAAAGUAACGGGAUUACUUUUGGGGGGAAGUAAUCAGUAAUUAGUUACUGAUUACUUUUUUCAAGUAACUUUGCCAACACUGGUCCUUAAUUAGGCAAAGUUUUUCUGAUACAACAUAAAAAAUACUAGUUUAUGUAUUUAUUGCGUAAAUAAAACAUAUUGUGACAAAACAGAUGUAAAAUAUCAAAGAUCCAGUGCUAAAAAUGCAUUUAAAGUGCCUUACUAUGUAUUACACAUUACAUCAUCACUUAUGUAAUUAAAGCGUGAGCAGCAUUUUCCUGUUGUUUGCUAAUGAGAAGCUAAUAUAUAUUGCUUUAUAUUCUGUUGGGUAAUUAAUCCAACACAGUAGAUUUUAUUAAGUCAUCAGUAUGCUGUCUGUUUUGAUUUGCAAAAAGUAGAAGUACGGAAUAAUAUACAGAACUGUUAUGAGAUGGAAAUAACUACAAACUUCAAGCUGUGCAUACAUAAUGUGCAUAAACACAUUAUUUGAAAUGUAUAUUUCCACCAUGACACAAAAGUCUUUCAAUUUUUAGAAAAUUAUUUCUUCUAAGCUGGAGAUUUAUUAAAUGUAGUGCUGUGCAAAAGUCUAGAGCUCCCCUUUAUCUCUUUUUAUCUUUCUUCUAAGGAGCCAGACUUUCCUGUACAUGGUUAAAGUGGUCUUGAGCAAUAGUUCUCCAGGCUUUAUGAAGGUCUUUCAAACCUUGGGCACUUUUCAGUCCAAUCCUUCUGCCUUUUUUUUAAACCACUUAACACUAACCUAUGAAUCAUUCAGUCAUAGAUUAGAUUAGACUAAAUAAUGGUCAAAUCUAUAGAAAAUGCUAAAGAUAAGAAGGUUUGACAGGCAUAAAAUAAUACUUUUGUACCAACAAAGUGGUUUCAAGAGAGCUAUUUGCUGAACUUGGCAUAUCAUGCCCUUAAAAUAUUAGGAAAAUAUCAGGAAAUUAGACGAGUAGAGAACAAAAGAAGCAGCAGGCCUGUAUCUAUAGUAGUAGCAUCGCAAAGUAACGUCCUUAAGAAAUAGUGUAAAAAAUCCAGCAAAGACCUGACACAGGAGCUGAGAGAAGCAUCUGAUCCUUCAGUUGAUCCAUCUACUGUUCACUGAAGCCUCAUCCCAAAUGGUCUCAGUGGAAGGGAAAGGUGGCUGUAAAGAAGCCAUUUUUAAGGAAGGCAAACAGGGAGAAAACGCUGAGGUAUUCCAAACUACACAAGAACUGAGUUGAAAAUCAGUGCCAACAGGUCUUACAGAGUCAAGAAUCCAAAAGUGAUGGUUCAAACUGUCACCGAUAUGUACAAAGGUCAUGACAGAGGUGCAGCAGUGAGUGUCUACAGCCAUCUGUGAAACACGGUGGAGGCUCAGUCAUGGUUUGGCGCUGCCUUUCAGCCACUGGUGUCUUGUCAAAAAGGAUUGAAUUAUGAACACAGAAAAGUACCAUCAGAUGUUGACCCACCAGGCAAUACCAUCUGGAAAGUGUCUAAUUGGCAAUGAACAUGACAUGAAAAUAAUGCCAAACACACACAGUGUGCUUGGCAUUAUCAGUCAUGGACUCGUCUCCCCAAAGCCCAGGCCUCAACUUUAUUGAAGCAUCAUCUUGACAGAUAAUGGGGAAAAAAAGGCAGCCAACAUCCAAAAAAGAGCUUUGAAUGUCCUUCAGGAAGCCUGAAGAACCAUUCCUGAAGACUAAUUAAAGAAAUUAUAAGAAAGCUGCCUGAAGGAGUUCAGGCUGUGUUGGAGAAUAAAGACGGUCACACCAAAUAUUGACUUUCAACUCGUUAGCAUUGUACAAAAUUUGUUUUUCUGUAUUUCCAUGUAUGUUUGCACAUUUCAGUAGAUUGCAACACCCGUUUCCCAUUUUCCUAGCAAGAUAUAAAUAAAUGAGGGCUGGAUCAAUUUUUGCAAGACUUUUGCAUUGCACUGUUUAUUUAGUGGUAACAUCAGAAAUGCUGACUGAAUACCCGAUGAAGUAUUGUAAAGGUGAAUAAGAGUUAUCAUUUAAGAUUAUUUUCUCCAAAGAUGUUCUCACAUUUCCUUCUUUGUUUUGAAUAAAC
rnacentral:lncRNA from 1 species